CCUUAAAAUGCUCUUGUAAGAGAAGCGCACCACUCCUCUUAUUCUUUAAAGACCCCAGGGGGGGUCCCGAGGAGAGGCCCAUCAUCCCCACCCCCUUUUUUGUAUAGGUGAGCAGAGACAGAGCGCUUUCGAAUUGUGACUAAGAAAAGGACGAGAACCGGGUCUGGCGCGCGACUCAAGCGGGUUUUCAUCUGCACCUUCGCAUCUCCUCUUCCUGCUUCUUACACUGGUUUUUGAAGGGCGUUGUUUUCUCUAAUGCACCUGCUGGUUUGUGUGAAUAGAAUCAUCUGCCGGGAUCUUCAGGAAAUCUGUUUUCCGAGUUUCUAGUGCCAAAAUAAAUGGUGGGCCUUUCUUUCCUCUCCUCUCUCCAGGAUGGGACCCUGGGAUUGAUCCCUGAGAUAGUAGUCAUUAUUGAAGCUAGGAGGACUCCAUUCCAGCAUCUACCUUACUUUUUGGCAACGCUUCUGACAACACCUCAAAUUCUUUAGCUCAAAGAUUAGCCAGCAAGACUAAAAAGCAGAUUUUUGUCAGCUAUAACAUUCAAAACACUGACAGCCGCUUCAUACUACUUGUAGAAAAUCGUAUCAAGGAGGAAAUGGCAACCUUCCCAGACAAAUUUUAGCUUGGCAUAGUCACAUUUUUGUUCAUGUUUUUUUUAAAGAAACAUUUUUAAAAAACCACGUCUUGAUCUUUUUGUCACUGAGUUAUAUAUUUUGGACAGUGAAAUGCAUUCAGUUUGAUUUAGCUUCUUUCUGAACCCACGUAGAGAGUGAAUCUAAACCUCUAAUGGAAAUAAGUGUUCAGCUCUUCGGAUGCUCCUGCUGGGAAAGUCUAGAACCAGAGUAAAUGCAGCAACAUUUGGCAGCUGUUGCCACCUACUGUUUCUGCUUGAUAUGGCACAGAUCUGUUUUGACUUUUUUAAUCCAUACAUGAUCUAGUUCUCUCACAUCCAGCCAACGGUAAAGCGAAUCUGUUCAGUGGAAAAUAUCAAAUUUGAAAUGGAUUCCUUGCAGAGUAAAUACCCACAGCAAACAUAGUCAAGGAAAAAGAUGUAAAAUUUACUCAGGAAGUGUAGUGUUAUGAGCCUCCCUAGCCAUUUUUAAUAGUAUGGUGUGCAAUUUGAUUAACUGUUUUCACAUUUUAUGAGCAUCAUUGGUGAGCAGGCCUACAUUUUAUCAGGAAAGGGGGAAGCAUCUAGAACAGUUUUUUUCAACCUUGGGAACUUUAAGAUGUGUGGACUUCAACUCCCAGAAUUCCCCAACCAGCCAUACUGGCUGGG